rnacentral:sRNA from 1 species
AAAAUAUAUAAAAUGUCAUAUGGAUCGUUGGAUUAGGUUGUCAGCUGCACAAGACAGCAUACUUCUUAUUUGCAGAUGUGAAAGGUGGAGACCUCAAGUAACAUAGUUGAGGAGCUGGGGAGCUGGGUGACCACUGGCAAAGAAGGAUGCUGUAAGUGUGGUCAAGCUGCAUGAAAUUGAAAUGGUCAAGCCAUAAACUUGGCCAUUUGUACUCCAGUUCUGUUAUGAGUAGAAGCGAAAAAACAAUAAAAUGGCCCCAACGAGUGCAAACCGAAGAAACCCAAGGAGCAGCAAACCGAGAGCCCAAACGUGGGCCAAGGAAACGGACAAAUGUAAUAGAAAAUUGCCGCAAAA